rnacentral:rRNA from 1 species
ACAGCCAUAUCAUGUUGAAACAUUGGUUCUCAUAUGAUCACCGAAGUUAAGCAACAUUGAGCCUGAUCAGUACCUAGAUGGGUGACCGCUUGGGAAUACCAGGUGCUGUAAG